GUCCUAUCCCUGUCAAUGCUAGUUGUUUGCCUUCUAAUAUCUUCAGUGCGUAUCAUAUCGCCAAAUUCACUGUCCGUCGUUGUUAUGUAUGAAACUGUCGACCUCCUUGUCGGAUUACCUGUCCUGGUCAUGUUCCUGACAAUUUUUCUACGACUAGUCAUAAGCCUAGUCAUAAGCCGACUUUGGAGGAUGGCUUGGAAAGAAAAUUAAUUUGUGCUUGUGUUAGUGGUUUUGGGUGGCCUAUCUCUCCUGACGAGGCCCAAAGCUUUGUUUUCAGUUUAUAUUGGAGUAUUUUUAGGUUAUCUAUUGGCUGUUCUUCCAAUAUGUUAUAAACAUAUCCUUUAUGAUGGGUAAUUGUUCUGCAUAGGUGUAAUUGUGAUAGUUAAUGAAUAUUUUAUUCUUUAAUUGAACCUUCAUAUUAUUAGAGAUCAUGAAAAAUGAGGCUAGCAAAAGUAUUGAGACCAAUAACUUCAACAAUUAUACUUUAUUUUAAAUUUUAGAGUAAUUUUAUACAUAAUUUGGGCUUGGUAUCGGAGGUUCUUCAAAUAAAGGUUCUUCACUGAACUUAAGGGCAGAGCAUUAGCAUUACUAUCAGACAAAUAAUCUUUGAUCAACAAGAACUAAGAAAAUUACUCCAUAAAUUUUGAUGGAUAAGGAGCUGUGCAGCUGAAUUAAGCAUGAUAAUGAAAUGUAAAAUCCUAAUCCAAAUUCCCAUGCAGAAUUUAAUUGUAAACAUAAUUCUUGAUACAUAUAAUGCCAAAAUGAGAACAAGGUCCUAACAUAGUGAAUCACUCCUAACAAAACUGUUGAAAGAGUUGAAGACAUCGCUUGACAGCCCAGAUGUCUUAGAUAAUCCCAAUCUUGUUUGCCACAUCCAAGGCAUCAAAAUCUGGAUUCAACCUAACAUAUGCCUUCUUAGUUCCAUCAGGCCUGCGUAAGUUUAUAAACAAGUUAACUCAAGAUUCAUAACAAUUAUGUAUAUGUUCAGUUUCAGACAAUUGUCUAAAGCAUGAGUGUAACCACAUAGCGGAUAUGACAAGCACACACAAAUAGAAGUGAAAGAACCCAAAAGCUGUGAUGCAUCAAAUUCCCACCCAGAUUCUAAAUUGAAAAGUUUGAAAUGGUUCACUAGAUUGCAAUACUCCUUCAUUCUUCUCUAGUUAUGAAUAUAUGAAUUUUAUGCAUCUACUUUUACUUAGAAAUUCAGGUAAGAGUGCUCUCUUCUUCAAAUCAUAUAAUUAUAACUUAGAAUUGAAAAAAAAAGAAAUUGUGAAAAAUAAUAUUCUUCAUAAGCUCAAUUCAAAAUUAUCAUUUUUUAUAAUUUUAACUAUUUUUGAUUAAUUUUUUGUAUGACUUAACAAUAAUACUUUUUAAAUAAUUUCAAACAAAUUAAAAUAGUUUCAGUUUUCUCUCUCCCGUCAUCCAGAUAAAAAUUUUAAAAUUAAAUUUCAAUUUCUCUUUCUGCUCAAAUAUAUCUAUUUUGUCAUCUAAUUCAUAAAUAUGACAUCAAGUUAUUUUUUAUUUUAUUUUAUUUUUUUAGACGGUAAAUUUUGAGAUUUAAAAAAAUGAUGAACAGUAAUUUUGUUUUUUACAAGUAACGAUUUUAUUCAAAAAAAAAUAACUAAAAUAUAUUUGAUAAAUUUUAUGGUGAUUCACAGCUUGCCCCGUGCUUAUCCUUUCUCCUUGUUUUUCUCUUCUUUUCAUUCUUUCUUUCAUCUCAAUGCCCGGCCUCUCCUUCUUUAGCUUAAAGUGCUGUUCCAUCACAAGAAGAAAAGAGAUAGAAAAUUUAAAUAUCAUUUAAUAUGUCUUGUCCAUUUCCUUUUUAUCUUCUCUUCGGGUUUCGAACUCUCCAAGACCUCUCUGUUCCUUUUCCUUCUUCAAAUGGACGCCCUUGGCUCUUACUAAAGCCUAUUUCUCAUGUUUUUGUACUUUUUAAUUUCUUUAUUGCAUUGCCACUCAUGUAACCCGAUCACAUCUCAUGUUUUUUUUUACCUAUCUUGUCUUUUCUCUCAUCUUUAUCUUAUUUUACUUCUUUUUUUACUUUUCUUCAUUUCCAUCUGCUAUCUCUCAAUUUUUUUAUUUCUUUAUUUAUUUUUUAUAUUAUUUAUUUAUUUUAUUUCCUUCAAAUAUUAAAAUUUACAUAUACAUCUUCAAACUUUUUUCUCUUAUAUUUUGACUCUUUUGACAUAUUUAAAAAUUCUAAUUUUUUCUAUCUUUUUUUUUUACACAUGUACAACCAGAAUAUCAAAAUUUUAUUUCAACACAUAUCAUCAUAAUAUUAAAAUAUUUACUUACUCGUAUUAACGUAAUUAAAUAAAAUUAUGCGAUACAAUUAUCAUUGUUUUCUCUCCAAAAUUCUUCCUUACUUCUUUUCUCCCAUUUAAAUUAGUCAUAUACCUUUUAUCCGAACUAAUUUUGAUAGUUAAUAAAAUUUUAAUAUUUUAAUAUUAUUUUAUUAAAUAAAAUAUUAUUUUAUUCUAAAAUUUUUCACUUAUCUCCUUUUAUUCCGAAACAUCUUAUUAUAUAUCAAUUCACUUUCAAAUCAUCUUUUAGCUUACUAAUUCGUUCUUAAUAAAAAUAUUAUUAUUUAAUUAUUAUUUACGAGCAUAUAGAAUAUUUCACUCUUGAAUAUUCUUUUUACCUUUUUAUCACUCUUUAACAUAUAAAUUUAUAUUAAUUAACCCUUCAUCUUACCGAGAUAGUUCCCUUAACUAUUAUACAAAAAUACGGGAUGUUACAAACCAUUUCUAAGGCCAAUUGUUUUAUAAACGGAACUAUUCUCCUCUUUCCUUCUCACUCUUGUUUACUUUAUUUUCUCUUUCUACUCUAUAUCUGCUAUAAAUAGACUAACCAUUUCAGUUAUUUUCUAAAGAUUAUUAUUCAAUCUUAUCGAUGGAUGAAAGGUUGAGUGGUGCAGCUCUAUCAGGAAAUAUAGAUGCCUUGUAUGAUUUAAUCAAAGAUGAUGCGGAUGUUUUACGACGCAUCGAUGAGAUGGAGUUCGUUGAUACUCCACUGCACAUAGCUGCAGCUGCAGGGCACACCGAGUUUGCAAUGGAGUUGAUGAACUUAAAGCCAUCAUUCGCUAGGAAGCUCAACCAAUGCGGCUUUAGCCCCAUUUACCUAGCCUUGCAAGAGAAACAAGAAAAGAUGGUGGAUGAUCUCCUAUCAAUUGAUAAAGAUCUCGUUCGCGUCAAAGGGAGGGAGGGUUACACUCCUCUUCAUCAUGCAGUCAGAGAAGGAAAUGUUCCGCUUCUGUCUAAAUUUCUGGAGAAUUGCCCCAAUUCUAUCUUUGAUUUGACUAUUCGAAAAGAGACUGCUCUGCAUAUUGCAGCACAAAAUAAUAAUUUAGAAGCUUUCGAAGCCAUACUGUUUUGGAUUCACAAGACCCACGAAUACGACUACAUGGAGAAAAGAAGAAUCCUAAACUUACAGGACAAGGAUGGAAACACUGUGCUGCACAUGGCCGCAUCAAAUAACCAAACCCAGGUACCAUUUAUCUCAUCCAAAGCGAAAAUAGAAUUUAUCGGCAUUGUAUUAUUUAUCAUUUGUCAAUUAAUUGUGGAUUUUAUAUAAGCAGAUGAUGAAACUGUUAAUGGAAAGCAGGAUGGUUAAGGGGGAUAAGGUUAAUCAAAGUGGUUUUACAGCUUUGCGUGUCUUACAAGAACAAGCUCGAGUUGACAGCGCAGAGAGUGUGAACAUUCUGAAACCGCCUAAAGAGUACCGGAUGGAUUUUGGCCAAGUGUCAUAUGAUAUUUCGAAGAUGAAUCUUGAUACAAUCAAUGCGUUGCUAGUCGUAUUUGCUCUGAUUGUAACGAUGACUUACCAAGCUCUUCUCAGCCCGCCGGGUGGAAUUGAAGCUGCGGGGAAGUCAGUCAUCAAGCCUAACGUGUUUAUUUUGUUCUAUACUUUAAAUAUCGCAGCUUUUGGAAUUGCGUGGUUUUCAGCAGUGUUCAUCAUCAAGACAGUUGCCAACAAAAUCGCAGGUUAUGUGGUUAUACUGUUCUCAUUGAUCUGCUUGUGCUACAUUGUUGCACAUUUUAUCAUAGCGCCAACGCUACAUGUCGGUGGGGUUGCUUUUGCUGCUGCUUUCAUAAUUGGCAGCAUCCUUGCUAUAAUGGUUCAUGUAUCCAUCGCAUAAGAAAUUAAUUUCUUACUUUAUAAAUAUUGAAUUUAAUAUCCUUUUUAUAAUUUAUAUAAAUCAAAUUGUUUUGACACUCUAAAACUAAAUGGAAUUGUAGAAAGAAAGCACCAACACAUCCUAGUAGUGGCAAGGUUCUUUAUGCAUCAGCCAAAGCUCCCAAUUCACUUUUGGGUAGAGUCGGUGCUUAUUGCCAUUCAUAUCAUUAAUAGCAUACCAACCAAGGUCCUCAAAAACAAGCCACCAUAUCAGUUACUGCACAAAAAGCGACCAGCCUAUGACUACUUUAGAGUUUUUGGAUGUUUGUGCUUUGUUUUCACACUAGCACAUAACAGAAAAAAAUUUGACAGGAGAGCCAAUAAAUGUAUUUUUGCAGAAUAUUUAAACUAAGUAAAAAUGUAUAGAGUCUAUGAUCUGGAUUCACAGAAAGUCAUAACAUCAAGGAAUGUAGUUUUCAAUGAGAAUGUAUUCCCUUUCAACAUUUCACAUCAUGAUUCACAAUAUUCUGCUUUUUAUCAAACACAUGGUAUGCAUUGUACUUCCAUGAAUGAUUUUGACUUUGACCUAACAAGCUCUCCUUUACAUGAGCACAUAUCAACUAAAUUAUAUGUAAAUGACCUCUCAUCGAAUGCAGAACAUGCUAGCACAUCAGAAAAUGAUAGCCAUUCAUAUAUUCUAUCACCUAUACAUAGUAUGCACAUCGAUGAUCCUAAAACAGAAAACAAUGUUGACCUUGUUAAACCAAUCCAACCACUUAGGAGAAGCUCUAGACAUAGACAGACUCCUAAAUACCUGGAUGCAUACUACACUGAACUACNGAUAUGUUCUCGUUGAGGAUCCUCAAAGUAUGCUAAAAUGCAUAGAGACAAGCAUAUGUACUUUGUCCUUUGUAUCGAUUGAUCCCUUGAAGAUGAGAGACGCUGGGAGGGAAGAAGUACUAAUGAGUUCAAGCAGAAGAAAAUUUAUCCUAAUCCUGAUCAAUUGAUUUUUCUACUAUAGUUUUAUUGUUAGCUUACAUUUUUUUUCUCAGCCAUCAUUUAAUUGAUGUGUUCAAUAAUGAACAUCUGAGAUAAGAAGACAGAGCCAGAGCAUUAAUAAUACAAACUUUAAGCCCUAAGCCCUCCCAUCCAUUAAGCUUUUCAUUGAUACUCCUGUGCAAAGCUGCAGCGGCAGGGCCAGUUGAUUUUGCGGUGGAGAUGAUGAACUGGAAGCUAUCGUUUGCCUCAACGAUCAAUCCAGAUGGUUUUACCCCAUUGCACCUUGCUUUGCAAAAAGGCCAAACUCAGUUUCUAUAUGAGCUCCUGAAAAUCAACAAUGACCUGGUUCGAGUCAAGGGGAAAAAUUAAAGGUGCGACACUUCUGCAUUACGCAGAUGAACUGGAAGACAUUGAUCUUUUGGCUAUGUUUCUUGUAGCUUGCCCUGAAUGCAUCAAAGAUGUGACUGUUGGAGGUAAAACUGCGGUGCAUAUUGCAGCAGAAAACAACAAUAUUGAAGCUCUUGAAGUCCUGACACGUUGGCUACGAAGGACUCACAACAAAGAUGGUGGAUUCUGGGAAAUUGAAGUCAUGAACUGGAAAGACAAGGAUGGCAACACACAGUGGCGGAGUCAGGUUUUUUUGUUUAGAAGGGCGAAUAGUCAAAGAUAAUAUAAAAUAUAAAAAUAUACUAAUAAAUUCUAAAAAUUAUUAAAAGAAUCAAUCUUAAAAAUUUAGUUAGAAGAAUUAACUAGUAUAAUCAUAAAUAAUUUAAUAAUGAUCAUAAUCUCAAUUUCUAGAUAAAAUUAACAACAAACAAAAAUUAAUAAAUAUAAUAACAAAAAUUUCAAAGAAAAGUAAUUCAUUAAAAAAAUUAAUGGUUAUCAAUAAACAAUUCAAUGAGAAGCAAUUCCAUAAAUUUAAUCACAAAAAUUAAAUAUAAUAUCAAUAAACAAUUCAAUGAGAAAGUAAUAUCGAAUAAAAAACUUAAUUGUUCACAAGAAUAUAAGCAAAUAAAAAAAACACAAAUACUUUGUAAGAAAACGAUAAAACAAUCUCUAAAUAAAUAAGUAAUAACUAACAUUAAGAACUUAAUCAAAUUCUAGCAAUCAAAAAGGUGUAAAAAAGAUUUUUUGUUUCUAUAGUAUUUAGUAAAAAGAAAAAUGAACAGUAGGGAGUGAUUGUGAAGUUUUAAAAAAUUAAAGUUUGAGAAUAAUUCUAUUACAAUAGAUUUUAUUUUAAUUUUAUUAAAAUUUAUUAUUAACUAAUUGUUAUGGAACAUCUCACCAAAUAAAAUAUUAUUGUAGGGAUAAAAUUAUAAAUUUAAAAAAAAUGUUAAAAAUUUUUAAAAUUUUUGUAAGAGUGAAAUUAUUAAAUUUUGAAAUUGUAAGAGUGAAAUUUUGAAAUUAUUAAAUUAUUAAAUUGUAAGAGUUAAACCAAUCCAACCACUUAGGAGAAGCUCUAGACAUAGACAGACACCUAAAUACCUGGAUGCAUACUACACUGAACAACCACUUCAUACAAAUUCAACCACACCAUGCCCUAUAACCAAUUACCUAUCAUGUCAAAAACUGUCACCAACACAUAGAGCCUUCACUAUGUCCAUGUCAUAUAUCCAUGAACCAAGUUCUUGCCAAGAAGUUGUGAGCCAUUCACAUUAGAGAGAUGCUAUAGAAGUUUAGCUGAGGGCUUUGGAGGAUAAUCAAACAUGGAUUAUAAUACCAUUGCCUUAAGACUCCCAUACAAUUGGAUGCAAAUGGGUAUACAAAGUCAAGCUGGGAGUCAAUGGAGAUAUAGAAAGAUACAAAACUCGCCUGGUAGCUAAGGGAUACAACCAAGUUGAAGGUUUUGAUUAUCAAGAAACCUUCGGUCCCAUGGCAAAACAAACCACAAUCAGAGUAUUCCUUGCCUUAGCAACAGCAAACAAAUGGACAUUAUCUCAACUUGACAUAAACAAUGCAUUCUUGAAUGGAGACUUGGAGGAGAAAAUGUAUAUGGAACUCCUACAAGGAUGAUGUUGGAUCAAAAUUAGUUUGCAAGCUGCACAAGGAUGUGUAGGAGAGGGGGGGGAGGGGGGGAACUUUUUAUAUUUAAAUCCCUAUUCCUAUUCAUUAUUAUUAGAUUAUAGAUAACUUCUUUUCAAGAAAAAAAAAAAGGUUUCUGAAGCAUGAAAUUAAAUUCAAAUGUUGAAUUGAUGAAAACUUGACCAGGAGAUGGCAACAAGACAAUGAUAUGUUGAGGAGAACAAGAACAUUGUAAUCCUCACCUAUGUUAAAGCAAUGCUUAACUAAUUUCUAAAGUUUUCAUUUCAAUCUAUUUCUCUUGGUGAUAAAACUCAAUCUGAGGAAAGGAAAGAUAGAUGGGGAUAUAGAAUCUCAGUCACGUUUUACACGCCAGUGUACAAUAGACGCAAAUUCUUGAGGGUCUAAACUAAGAAUGAAGAAAAGCACCUUAAUGCUUGACUGACAAAUAUCAACCAUUUCCAUGGCUAACGCUUUUAAAUAGGGAACCAUUCUCCUCUUUCUUUCUCACUCCCUGUCUACCACUUUAAACUCAAGCUAAACCCUUCCAAACUUCCCGGUUUUAUACCAUUAUCAUGACUGAAGAGAGUUUUAGCAUCACAAUUGGUCGUCCUUUCUCAAUGCAGGAGAGGGUGAGGAAUGCUGCUAAAGAAGGUGAUGUUGAGGCGUUGUAUGAGCUUAUCCGGGAGAAGGCUGAUUUUUUGAAGGACAUCGAUCAAAUGGAGUUUGUUGAUACUCCAUUACACGUAGCUGCAGCUGCAGGACGCACUGGGUUUUGCAUUGGAGUUGAUGGACUUAAAGCCAUCACUUGCUACGAAGCUGAACCACGACGGGUUGAGCCCCAUGCGCCUUGCGUUGCAGAAUGAGCAUGCAGAGACGGUGCUCUCACUCCUGAGAUUCGAUAAGAAUAUCGUUCGUGUCAAAGGGAAGAACGGCUACACUCGUUUCCAUUAAUCAGCAAUGAAAGGAGACCGACCGUCGGGUUUUGAAUGAAUUUCUCAAGGAUUGCCCUCAAUGUAAUCAUGAUGUGACAAAUAGAAAUGAAAAUGCCCUGCAUCUUGCAGUGCGGAAAAACAAUUUCGAAGCUUUACAAGUUCUAAUGCUCUGGCUGUGGAGCUCUGAUUGUAAUAUGAGGCAGAUUAAAAGAAUUCUGAACUUCAAGAACAGGGAUGGCGACACUGUGUUGCACAUAGCACCAUCCAAUAACCAACCAAAGGUAUGAAUUUGAUCUCACCCAAGCUUUCUUUUUUUAAAUUGUAUUUAAGUGUUACGAAUUUACGAUCGUUUGUCAACAUGUAUGUUACUUUAUUUUUCAAUGCAUGCAGAUUGUCAGGUUAUUAACUGAUUAUGGGAUAAUGAACAUGAAAGCUACCAAUUCGAAGAAUUUAACAGCUUUGGGUAUCUUACAAGGCCAAAAUCAAGAAGACAGCGGAAAGUGCAAGCAAAUUCUACUCUCUGCUUACCGUGCCAUUUUCGUCGGAGCAAUUGCUCUUAUUCAACGAAUUAGUCAACUUAAAUAUAAUAUUAAAACCAUGUCAGGUGACAAGAACAAUGCUUUGCUGGUAGUAACAGUACUUAUUCUAGCAGCCACUUGCCAAGCCAGAGACAAACAGGUCAAUAAUAUCUACCUUCAUUUGAAGAGAGUUCACUUGGUAUUAACUUUUUAAAAGAUAUUGAAAAAAACACAACGAAUAGAAUCUUAAAAUAAAUCGAUUUAGUGGAACGAUUUUAAAUGCUACCAGAUUUUUGCAUUAAGAAUCCAAUGAAUUGCAAUGAUUGAAUCUAAUUCAAUAAUUAAGGACCUCUUUCCGAACCACCGUGAGUGAUAAAAAAUUUGAAGAGCCAUCUCUCGCUUUCUUGACUUCACCUAAACCUAAAGUGUUGUCGUCACGUUGAUGUUUUACUCUUAUGAGCCGUCCAUAAGUUUUGAAUAUAACAUAGCCACGUUUGCUAACCCGCCUUGAAUAUAUUUAAAACCAGAUUCGAGUAGAGAGAGAGAGAGAGAGAGUUGUCAUCAUAGUGGUCUAAAUUAUUGAAAAUUUUAUAAUAUAUACUACCGUUUUACCACGAAAACUCCUUUAUUCUGGCUUUUCUGUUCGCGGUUGACUAAAAUGGAUUGACUAAACGGCACCGAGGCUUUUCCUUGUAAGUUCGUCAAGGUACUCCUCUGCAUCCUCUUGAUAGAUGUUAAUUCAGGGGCGUCUUAGCUAAGAAUGAAGACAAGCACCUUAAAGCGUGAUUGACAAAAAUCAACCAUUUCCAAGCCCAAUUGUUAGAUAAACGGAACCAUUCUCCUCUUUCCUUCUCACUCUUGUUUACUUCAUUUUCUCUUUCUACUCUAUAUCUGCUAUAAAUAGACUAACCCUUUCAGUUAUUUUCCAAAGAUUGUUAUUCAAUCUUAUCGAUGGAUGAAAGGUUGAGGCGUGCAGCUCAAUCCGGAAAUAUAGAUGCCUUGUAUGAUUUAAUCCAAGAUGACGCGGAUGUUUUACGACGCAUCGAUGAGAUGCAGUUCGUUGAUACUCCACUGCACAUAGCUGCAGCUGCAGGGCACACUGAGUUUGCAAUGGAGUUGAUGAACUUAAAGCCAUCAUUCGCUAGGAAGCUCAACCAAUGCGGAUUUAGCCCUCUUCACCUAGCCUUGCAAAAUAAACAAGAAAAGAUGGAGGAUUAUCUGGACCAUAUGAGGAUUCAAAAUGGACAAGACAACUCAGCUUGAUAUUCAAAACUCCUUGCUUACGUGCACAUGUUUACAUGCUGAUACGGUUGUGGUUUGGUAAUAAGAUUUGGCAUUGCAAUUGUAGCUGCAUCUGAUGACAAUUGCAAAACCAAACAUCAUAAAAAUAGCAAUAAAAAAAUCUCAAUCGCGGUGAGUUUUUUCUCAAUCGCAAUUGCAGCUUUGUGUAGUGUGAAUAUAAAUGUAGCUUGUUGGUAUCUAAGACGAGAGCUUAGCUGCUUGUGAAAGGUUUCUACCAGAAAAAUAAGUUGGGUCUCAAUAAUUAAUGGCUUGUUUGAUCAUGUCUUGCACUGUACUUUGUAUUAAACUUUAUUGAAAUCAAUCGAAAGAGUGAGUUUUAGUCUUAAAAGUUUUUUGGGGUUUCUGCUAUUGAGUUCUUCAAGUGAUAAGAAUGGUAUAGAUUUUGAUAGAACUUUUAGAUUUGGGACUGUAUCAAACAAAAGUUUAUUCUCAGUGGCCCUCGACUCUAUUUCAAUCCAAAGGAUCCCAAAACGCAAUGAUUAAUUAAUUAGAAGAUGAAGAUGAAGAUGAAAAUGAAAAUGAAAAGCAGACAGGGUUGAAGUCAUUCGUACAGGAGCGAUGAUUCCUGGCUAUGGCUCGCAUCAUCUGUCAAUGCUAACCACACCUUCUUCUUGAAUCCUGAUCAAUACAAACUUCCACUGUCCUAAGCCCAAACCAAACCAUGAAGUUUAUCUUUUGUUCCCCACUCCGAUUCUCUAUGCAUUUAAAAGCUAAGGCAUCGUAGAAAUGUUAGCAGUGCUGUAAUAAGAGGCCAAAUGGUUAAGAAAUCAAACCAAGAGAUUGGACCAAUUGAUAACAAUUUUCUCAAUAAUAUUGAAAUUAUUUUAUUUGAGAGAGGCAUUUACAUAAUUUAUUUUAGUAUAUGAUAAUUAGAUCACAGAGGUGGUGGAGUCAUAUUUGAUGUUUAUGUCGUGAAGUGAAUUUCAACGUUAAUAUAAGCUCAUGAUAUAAGGGAUUGGUGUCGGGACCAAAAGAUCAAUGUUAAAAGCUGAGUAAAUUAUGGAUAAGUAAUCCAUAACAUUAAAUGUAUGUUAAGAUAUUUUAAUUGAUUUUUCUUCAACUGCUUUUUUGAUAACACAAUCUAAUCAAAGCUCGAUUUUUAUGACAAAUGCCGUCGUGCUACAGUAAUAGCUACCAUAUGUUGGUCUUUCAGCAUUAAUCCUGCAGGGACAUGAGGUGGUAACUAUUCAUUUUUAUUUUAGUAAAAAAAAUAUAAAAUAUGAAAUAAUCCGGAAAAAAAAUUCAAACCUAAAUAAUAAAGGCAAUCAUUCCAAACCCAUAAUGAAUCCAAUUUAACUCAACCGGUCUCGGCCCAUUGCAUCCCUAUCCCUAGGCAACUCUUCCCGGUGGUACGUGCGGUCAACCGGUAGGCAUGCUUCCCCUAAAAUCAAGAAGCCCAAUUAAAAUGGGGCCGAGUGAAAUAACCUGAUACACUCAAGAGCUCACCCACCAACCACUUAAAAUGCUAAAGUGAUUUUUGCAAUAAGAAUCCAAUGAAUCUCAAUCAUUGAAUCUAAUUCAAUAAUUAAGGACCUCUUUCCCCUGAUAUGUGAUAAAAAAUUUCAAGAGCCAUCUCUCCCUUUCUUGACUUCACCGAAUCCUAAUUUGUCGUCACGUUGAUUUUUAACUCUUAUGAGCCGUCCAUAAGUUUUGAAUAUUAAUUACAUAGCCGCAAGUGCUAUCCACCUUGAAUAUAUUUAAAACCAGAUUCAAGUAGAAAGACAGAGUUGUCAUCAUAGUGAUCUAAAUUAUCGAAAAUUUUAUAAUAUAUACUACUGUUUUACCACGAAACUCCUUUAUUCGGCCUUUUCUGUUUUUUAAUCUUUCCCGGUUGACUAAACAGCACCGAGGCUUUUCCUUGUAAGUUCGUCAAGGUACUCCUCUGCAUCCUCAUGAUAGAUGUUAAUUCAGGAGGGUCUUAACUAAGAAUGAAGACAAGCACCUUAAAGCGUGAUUGACAAAAAUCAACCAUUUCCAAGCCCAAUUGUUGCAUAAACGGAACCAUUUCCAAGCCCAAUUUUUACAUUUUAAAAUAUAGUCAGUAGAGAAUUUUCGUCAAAACCGAGUAUCGUUUACAUUUUUGCUAGGAAGUUUCUUUAACAGAAUACUCCUUGAGCCGUGAGCACUCCUUGUAUAUUAUUAUUCAACCCCAAUUGCUAUAUAAACGGAACCAUUCUCCUCUUUCCUUCUCACUCUUGUUUACUUCAUUUUCUCUUUCUACUCUUAUCUGCCACAAAUCGACUAACCCUUCCAGUUAUUUUCCAAAGAUUAUUAUUCAAUCUUAUCGAUGGAUGAAAGGUUGAGGCAUGCAGCUCAAUCAGGAAAUAUAGAUGCCUUGUAUGAUUUAAUCGAAGAUGACGCGGAUGUUUUACGCCGCAUCGAUGAGAUGGAGUUCGUUGAUACUCCACUGCACAUAGCUGCAGCUCAAGGGCACACUGAGUUUGCAAUGGAGUUGAUGAACUUAAAGCCAUCAUUCGCCAGGAAGCUCAACCAACGCGGCUUGAGCCCCAUUCACCUAGCCUUGCAAAAGAAACAAGAAAAGAUGGUGGAUGAUCUCCUAUCAAUUGAUAAAGAUCUUGUUCGUGUCAAAGGGAGGGAGGGUUACACUCCUCUUCAUCAUGCAGUCAGGGAAGGAAAUGUUCCUCUUCUGUCUAAAUUUCUGGAGCAUUGCCCCAAUUGUAUCUUAGAUUUGACUAUUCGAAAAGAGACAGCUCUGCAUAUUGCAGCACAAAAUAAUCAUUUAGAAGCUUUCAAAGCCAUACUGAGACGGCUUCCCACUGUAUACGAAGCAGCAAUCCUAAACUUAGAGGACAAGGAUGGAAACACUGUGUUGCACAUAGCCGCAUCAAAUAACCAACACCAGGUACAAUCUAUCUCAUCCUAAGAGAAAAUAGAAUUAAUCUGGCGUUGUAUUAUAUUGUUGAAAUUUUAAGCUUUAGAGAUUUACAGAGAGAACAAAGAACCAGUGGAGAGAGUGAAUAAAACUUAGCAUGCUCAUUCCGCUUUCAAAAUCCCUUUUUAAUAGACAAACCCGAUUUGUUCCUUUUAGUUUAUGGUCUGUUUGUUUUUGCUUUGAUGCUGUCACAACACAGAGGAUAGAGGCAUCCUUUCAUCUUUGAUCAUUUUUUCUAUCUCAAUUUACUCUACUUAUUUUCUGUUUCAUGACGUGGGGACUUUUUUGACAAGAGUUAUCUUGUUUUAGUCAGUUUAACAGACCGCAUCAUUGCUCUCCUUGAAUAGCAGUUACUAUCUUUUGUAAUUAUUUUUACUAUCAAUGAAAUCUUUGAUUGGCUGAGAAAAAAAAAAUAGAUAAACCCGAUUAGAGGAAGGGGAAAAACAAUUAAAACAAAACAGCCAAUUGUCACAGGAGACAUGGCAUUGCUUUGCUUCCCACUACUCGGCUGGUACCUUACCUCGUACUACCAGCCGAUUACCAACCAACGCGUGGUGCCUAUGGUAGAGACACGUGAGGUAGAGCACGUGAUGUCUUCUUCUCCAAAGUUUAAACCAAUUGACGCGAACCCCCGUUAACUUGCACAGAUAGAACAUAUAUAUUAUUUGUCAAUUAAUGGUGGGUUCUGUAAAUGCAGAUGAUCAAACUGUUAAUAAAAAGCCAGAAGAUUGAUUGGAAUAAGGUUAAUCAGAGUGGUUUUACAGCUUUGCAUGUCUUGGAAGCACAAGCUGGAGAUGACAGGAGAGAGAAUGUGAACAUGCUGAAACGUGCCAAAGUUCCACCCUCAAUUUUUUUAGCGAAGAUGGUUCUUCAAAGUCGGCGUUUUACCGAAAUAAUAACUGAUAUUCUGGAAAUGAAAACUGAUACGAUCAAUACGUUGCUAGUCGUAUUGGCACUGAUUCUAUCGAUGACUUACCAAGCUGUUCUCAGCCCACCGGCUGGUGCUCGAGAUGCGGGGAAAUCAUUCAUCAAGCAUUUGGUGUUUUUUUCGUUCUAUGCUUUUAAUUCCGCAGCUUUCAGCCUUGCGUGGCUCUUAACACUUAUGCUUGUCACUGUCGUUGCCAAGAGUAUCAUAAUUCUUCUGUUGCUACUAUACCUGAUGAUGGCUUGUUGCUACGCUGUUGCAUAUUAUACCAUAUCUCCAAACCUGUAUGUCAGUUUCGGUGCUGAUGCUGUUGCUGUUGGUGCCAUCAUUGCUGUCUUAUUUUAUUGUUACUUUUAUUUCCGUCCCAAAAAUUUAUAAAAUGGAUAUGUUUGCUCUUANAGAUACUUUAGAUGGGAUCUGUUUACUCACUGGGAUUAUAAAAUCUCACCCUUCUUCCUAUACAUUUUUCAGUCUCAGACAAUUUGUGGAUAGUCGAGUAGGACGAGAACUAAGCUCAGAACUGCAUAUAGAAAGUAAGAGUUCACAGUCAUACAUCCUCUUGGUCAAUUGGAGCCCACGUGUCAUUGCAGAUCAAAACUUAUAUUUUGGUUAUCUGUAUUUCUAUUCAUACAAAUUUUACUUUACUUUCAUGUGCGAAAAAUUAUUUACGAAUAUUUCUAUUGAAAUUUAUUUUAUGAGAAAAUAGAAUAUUUUUAUUUAUUAUUUUUGAAUUGUACUAGUUGGUCAACAAUUUACUUUCAAAUGAACGUUUAGAUACUUAAUUUGUUUUUAAAUCAUAAAAUAUAUAUUUUCUGCUUACCUACUACAUUUUUAGCAAGUUUUGAGAUUUUGACGAAAAAUUACGAAAAUACCUUUGGAGCCGAAAAAUAAUAUUUUAUUGUUCUUAUUUGAAAAUGACUCAUGAUUUUUUUGAAAUGCAAGAUUUAUAACUGUUGCUCACCGGGGAGAUGCGGAAGUUGAUGCUAAGCCUUGCGGGGUUUCAAUCAGCAUUCGGGGUGAAGAAUGUCUGUUGAGGCAUCGCGGCGGUUGUCACGAGCCCGAUUGGGAGUUCCGGGUCGUGACAGUCAAUAAUAUCUACCUUCAUUUGAAGAGAGUUCACUUGGUAUUAACUUUUUAAAAUAUAUUGAAAAAAGCACAACGAAUAGAAUCUUAAAAUAAAUCGAUUUAGUGGAACGAUUUUAAAUGCUACCAGAUUUUUGCAUUAAGAAUCCAAUGGAUUGCAAUGAUUGAAUCUAAUUCAAUAAUUAAGGACCUCUUUCCGAACCACCGUGAGUGAUAAAAAAUUUGAAGAGCCAUCUCUCGCUUUCUUGACUUCACCUAAACCUAAAGUGUUGUCGUCACGUUGAUGUUUUACUCUUAUGAGCCGUCCAUAAGUUUUGAAUAUAACAUAGCCACGUUUGCUAACCCGCCUUGAAUAUAUUUAAAACCAGAUUCGAGUAGAGAGAGAGAGAGAGAGUUGUCAUCAUAGUGGUCUAAAUUAUUGAAAAUUUUAUAAUAUAUACUACCGUUUUACCACGAAAACUCCUUUAUUCUGGCUUUUCUGUUCGCGGUUGACUAAAAUGGAUUGACUAAACGGCACCGAGGCUUUUCCUUGUAAGUUCGUCAAGGUACUCCUCUGCAUCCUCUUGAUAGAUGUUAAUUCAGGGGCGUCUUAGCUAAGAAUGAAGACAAGCACCUUAAAGCGUGAUUGACAAAAAUCAACCAUUUCCAAGCCCAAUUGUUAGAUAAACGGAACCAUUCUCCUCUUUCCUUCUCACUCUUGUUUACUUCAUUUUCUCUUUCUACUCUAUAUCUGCUAUAAAUAGACUAACCCUUUCAGUUAUUUUCCAAAGAUUAUUAUUCAAUCUUAUCGAUGGAUGAAAGGUUAAGGAGUGCAGCUCAAUCCGGAAAUAUUGAUGCCUUGUAUGAUUUAAUCGAAGAUGACGCGGAUGUGUUACGACGCAUCGAUGAGAUGGAGUUUGUUGAUACUCCACUGCACAUAGCUGCAGCUGCAGGACACACUGAUUUUGCAAUGGAGGUGAUGAACUUAAAGCCAUCAUUCGCUAGGAACCUCAACCAAGGCGGCUUUAGCCCCCUUCACCUAGCCUCGCGAUAUCCAGAAACAGUGAUGGUGGUGGAUGAUCUCCUAUCAAUUGAUAAAGAUCUUGUUCGUGUCAAAGGGAGAGAGGGUUACACUCCUCUUCAUUAUGCAGCCAGAGAAGAAGAUGCUCCUCUUCUGCUUAAAUUUCUGGAGCAUUGUCCCAAUUGUAUCUUAGAUUUGACCAUUCGAAAACAGACUGCUCUGCAUGUUGCAGCACAAUAUAAUAAGUUAGAAGCUUUCAAAGCCAUACUGUUCUGGAUUCAAGGGAGUGACAAAUACCUCGACUCUGAGAAAAGAAGAAUUCUAAACUUACAGGACAAGGAUGGAAACACUGUGUUGCACAUAGCGGCGUCAGAAAACCAACUCGAGGUACCAUUUAUCUCAUCCUAAGAGAAAAUAGAAUUAAUUUGGCAUUGUAUAUUACAUUAUUCGUUAAUGAAUUGUGGAUUUUAUAUAAGCAGAUGGUCAGACUGUUAACAGAAAUCAAGAAGGUUGAUAGGAAAAAGGUUAAUCGGAGUGGUUUUACAGCUUUGGGUGUCUUAGAAGCACAAGCUCGAGUUGACAGAGAGAUUGUCAACAUUCUGAUACGUGCUAAAGAUCGACCCUCAAUGAUCCGUAGGGUGUCAUACUUUACCAAAUUCCAACGUGAUAUUGAGGAGAUGAAACCUGAUACGAACAAUGCGUUGCUAGUCGUAUUUGCACUGAUAACAGCGAUGAGUUACCAAGCUUUUCUCAGCCCACCGGGUUGUGUUUUUCAGGCCGAUGCUGAUUCCAAUAGCACUGAACGUGCAGGGAAAUCAGUCGUCAAACCUUAUGCGUUUUUAAUGUUCUAUUCUUUAAAUUGUGCAGUUUUUGCGCUUGCGUGGGACAUAACAGUUGCCCUCCUCAGAGUAGCUGGCAAGAACAUCCAGCGUAUUGCGCACACACUAUGCUUGGUGACUUGUUUUUGCUCCGGUGCUGCACUGGCUAUCAUAGGCCCAACGCGGGCCACUUUUAUUACUUGGGCUGCUGCUUGGAUCAUUGAAGUGUUUUUUAUUAAGUUAUUUUGAAAGGCAAAGGGAUUAUUACUAAGGAAUUGGUAAAUAAGAGGUUGUUUAGGCCAAAGCUAAGAAGACAGAGAAAGAAACAAUAAGUCAGGAAGAAGGAAGAGAGAUAUUGAUCCGUAAAAAGAUCACUGACGAAAAUUGCCCUAGUGCGUAGAAUCCUUGUUUUGGCCAAUCCAUUGACAAUGGUGUUACUCUCCCUGAGAAUAUGCUUGAAGGACAAUCUAACAGUUCUUCACUUAAGACUCUCAGUUCGAUUGUAAGAUAUGUUUCAACAUGUUAGAGAUAAAGAAUGUAUUGGCUUAGCUUGCACUUAUGUUAUCUUUUACUUUAAUAUGUACUUUGCUUCGUUGUAAUGGUUUUGAGGUAAAAUAUAUCAGCUGACAUGAGGUGUCUGUGUGCAUGUUAAAUGUUUUAACACCUGUCCUUAGUAUAAACAAGUGUUAGCUUACUGAUGCUUGUAUAUACUGUAAGUUUGCUUACUAAUGAAAUAACUUUCUCUUUAUCCGCUGCCCUGUUUUCUUUCUUUUACAGUCCCCAGCAUUGUUUUAAUCGUUUGUCCUACUUUCAUAUCACAACAUUCAUCAAGAAAGAGUGAAGUGAUAAUUUGCACUGGCUAUCAUAGCUUAGGGUGAUAAUUUGCAGCUCAGGGUGCUUUAUGCUGCUGCUUCUUCCAUAGUUGUUGUCAUAUAUUAUUGUAUUUGUUUAUUUCGUUUCAAAAAAAAUACAAUGAAGACGUGUAGAAUUAAUAACAAAUAGUCUCUUAACUUUAUAACAAGGCUUAGAUAGAGACAGAUUAAUGUAGCUUAUUGAUUGAGAAUAUAAUUACCUUUGGAACAAAUAGUUGGAGAGCAAGGUAUGUAUCUUAUGCUGGCAGGUUACAGUUAUUCAAUCAAUUUUGUUCAGAUUGAAAAUUUGAGUCAUGGAAUACGUACCAUUAGACACCGUUAGGUGAAAGUAUAUAGGAAUACAAUGUAUUUUCCUUCCAAGUAUACACCCUAAGCAUGCCCUUAUUGCUUGGAUCCACUUAGUUUAACAAGUUGAACCAAAUAUAGAAAAAGAAUAAGAAUCGGCAUCAAUGAAUCGAUUCAUUCUCUUUAAUACAUUCUAAUUUUUUUCUCGAUAAUAGAUUCUAAUCAAGUAGUAAGCUUUUAACAAUUUGAGGUCCAUCUAAUUUUUUUUGUUUAAAAAAAAAACAAGUUGAGAUCCUUGACAUCCAAAUGAAAAUUUUAAUAUUAGUAUAGAUAGAGGGAUAUUUUAAAAUGCCAAUUAAAUUAAACAUAAGCCUAGGAAAGAUUUUGAUAGAGAUUAUCCACAACUUGUUAUCAUAUUGGUCAAGCAGUUGGGUUUUUUGAUAGACAAAAAUUUUAUGAUAGUCCUCCAUAAAUAAGAAAUUCCUAACGAAAUCUUCUUUGGUCUUCAACUACUUCCAAAUUCCUGUUUUAAAGUUCGAUUAAUCCCACAAGACCUGAAGUGGAUCAGAUAAAGAAAAGAGAAAGAGAUCAAUUGAUACCGUUUCUGGAAAUAAAGAAGGAAGAAAGGAAUAAAGAACGAAAGCAAAAAAAGAUGGAAGGAGAGCUCAGAGAUUCUAUCGCUCCCACGUUUCACAGUCUAGUGUACAAUAGAUGGGGAAAUAGAAUCUCAGUCACGUUUUACACUCAAAGUGUACGAUAGAUGCAAAUUCAGGAGGGUCUUAACUAAGAAUGAAGACAAGCACCUUAAAGCAUGACUGACAAAAAGCAACCAUUUCCAAGGCCAAUUGUUAUAUAAACGGAACCAUUCUCCUCUUUCCUUCUCACUCUUGUUUACUUCAUUUUCUCUUUCUACUCUUUAUCUGCUAUAAAUAGACUAGCCCUUUCAGUUAUUUUCCAAAGAUUAUUAUUCAAUCUUAUCGAUGGAUGAAAGGUUGAGGAGUGCAGCUCUAUCAGGAAAUAUAGAUGCCUUGUAUUAUUUAAUUCGAGAUGACGCAGAUGUUUUACAACGCAUCGAUGAGAUGGCGUUUGUUGAUACUCCACUGCACAUAGCUGCAGCUGCAGGGCACACUGAUUUUGCAAUGGAGUUAAUGAACUUAAAGCCAUCAUUCGCUAGGAAGGUCAACCAAUGCGGAUUUAGCCCUCUUCACCUAGCCUUGCCAAAUAAACAAGAAAAGAUGGUGGCUCAUCUCCUGUUAAUUGAUAAAGAUCUUGUUCGUGUCAAAGGGAGGGAGGGUCACACUCCUCUUCAUCAUGCAGCCAAGGAAGGAAAUGUUCCUCUUCUGUCUCAAUUUCUGGACCAAUGCCCCAAUUCUAUCUUAGAUUUGACUAUUCGAAAAGAUACUGCUGUGCAUAUUGCAGCACAAAAUAAUCAUUUAGAAGCUUUCAAAGCCAUACUGCGACGGCUUCCCACUGUAUACGAAGUAAGAAUCCUAAACUUAGAGGACAAGGAUGGAAACACUGUGUUGCACAUAGCCGCAUCAAAUAACCAACGCCAGGUACCAUCUAUCUCAUCCUAAGAGAAAAUAGAAUUAAUUUGGCAUUGUAUUAUAUUGUUGAAAUUUUAAGCUUUAGAGAUUUUCAGAGAGAACAAAGAACCAGUGGAGAGAGUGAGUAAAACUUAGCAUGUUCAUUCUGCUUUCAAAAUCCCUUUUUAAUAGAGAAACCCGAUUAGAGGAAGGGGAAAAACAAUUAAAACAAAACAGCCAAUUGUCACAGGAGACAUGGCAUUGCUAUGCUUCCCACUACUCGGCUCGUACCUUACCUUGUACUGCCAGCCGAUUACCACCCAAUGCGUGGUGCCUAUGGUAGAGACAUGUGAGGUAGAGCACGUGAUGUCUUCUUCUCCAAAGUUUAAACCAAUUGACGCGAGCCUCCGUUAACUUGCACAGAUAGAACAUAUAUAUUAUUUGUCAAUUAAUGGUGGGUUUUGCAUAUGCAGAUGAUCAAACUGUUAAUAAAAAGCCAGAAGGUUGAUUGGAAUAAGGUUAAUCAGAGUGGUUUUACAGCUUUGCCUGUCUUGGAAGCACCAGCUGGAGAUGACAGCAGAGAGAGUGUGAGCAUGCUGAAACAUGCCAAAGUUCCACCCUUAAUUUUUUUAGGGAAGAUGCUUCUUCAAAGUCGGUGUUUUACUGAAAUAAUAACUGAUAUUCUGGAAAUGAAAACUGAUACGAUCAAUACGUUGCUAGUCGUAUUGGCACUGAUUCUAUCGAUGACUUACCAAGCUGUCCUCAGCCCACCGGCUGGUGCUUGAGAUGCGGGGAAAUCAUUCAUCAAGGCAUUUGGUGUUUGUUUCGUUCUAUGCUUUUAAUUCCGCAGCUUUCAACCUUGCGUGGCUCUUAACACUUAUGCUCGUCACAUUCGUUGCCAAGAGUAUCAUAAUUCUUCUGUUGCCAGUAUACUUGUUGAUGGCUUGUUGCUGCGCUGUUGCAUAUUAUACCAUAUCUCCAAACAUGUAUGUCAGUUUCGGUGCUGAUACUGUUGGUGCCAUCAUUGUUGUCUUAUUUUAUUAUUACUUUUAUUUCCGUCCCAAAAUUUAUAAAAUGGAUAUGUUCACUCUUAAUUUUAUAAGAAGGCUUACCGAGAGAAAUCAUAGCACAUUGAUUGAGGAGAUUACCUCUUGAACAAAUAUUACAGUUGUUCAAUCAAAUUUGUUCAGCUUGCACAUUUUAAUAUUCUAGUGUUGGAUAUGGGAAGCCGGUGUGAGGUGUUUUUUCCUUUGUUUCCACUCUGUUUAUAGUUUUCUGGGCUGUUGGCAUUUCCUUUCACUGCUUGUAAUAAUCAGACUUUGUAUCAGUUUUGAUACUAAUAAAAUCUCUUUUUGACUGAGUAAUAAUAAAUACAUGUAAUGAUAGCAUUAUAUUUUAAUGAGGUUUAAUUUUUUUCAUCUCAUUUUUAUUUUGAUUCAAACUUGGUAUAAAAUUUAUAUAUUUAUAAAUAAUAGACACUUUCAUAAGUUUUUUUUUUUAUAGUUAAAUAUUUUAAUAUUAUUACAAAAAGAAUUGUAAGUAAUAUAUUCUGUGAAAUUGAAGUCAUGAACUGGAAAGACAAGGAUGGCAACACACAGUGACACAGUCAGAUUUUUUUGUUUGGAAGGGCGAAUAGUCAAAGACAAUAUAAAGUAAUUUAGAUAAAAAAAUGCAUAUAAAAAUAUAUUAAUAAAUUCUAAAAAUUAUUUAGAGAGUCAAUCCUAAUAAUUACUUAAAAGAAUUAACUAUCAUAAUCAUGAAUAAUUUAAUAAUGAUCAUAAUCCCAAUUUCUAGAGAAAAUUAACAACAAAUAAAAAUUAACAAAUAUAAUAACAAAAAUAUUAAUGAAAAGCAAUCUCUUAAAAAAUAUUAAAGACUAUCAAUAAACAAUUCAAUGAGAAAUAAUUUCGUAAAAUUAAUUAUUAAAAUUAAAUAUAAUAUUGAAAAAUUAAUCACAAAAAUUGAAGUCAUGAACUGGAAAGACAAGGAUGGCAACACAGUAUUGCACGUAGAUGCAUCCAACGAAUAGAAAUCUCCUGCCCCGUUGGUGCCCCUUCCAUUUGAUUGAUGCUUUUGCCUCCGUGGACCUUGUACACCAUCAGCUAAACAACAACACUAUACAAUUGAAGGUCACAAAGCCAGCAUCAACUUACAAAAUUCAUACCAUUCUCAACUUACGCAAGUAUAUUUGUAAUUUAUUAAAUGAAAACAUAAUACUACUAUAUAAUCGAAGUCAGGGUAGACAGCUUAAUGUUAUUAAUUUCAUGGUAACGAUUCUCUCAUUCCUAACAAAUUAAUGUUAGCAACACCGUUGAUCUCAUUCAAAUCACACGAUGAACACAAGUCAUUAUCAUUUUCAAAGUAAACAUCUGUAGCUCUCAAGAAGCUUGUGGCUGUAAUGCAGUUCAGGAUACGUAACCAUGAAGACAUUGAAUUUUUGAGAGGAUAAAGAAUUUCCAAAUAGAUAAACCUUUUUUUUUUUUUUAUGUGGCCAUAGUUGACAAGACAGCUGUGGGCCUGUGGCUUUCUCUAAAAGAAAAUGUUGCUUUCGUAAAAGUUUUAACUUGAAUAGCACGUUUGGUUCGUGAAAUAGACAAGAAUAAGAUAGAAUAGUUAUUACGUGGGAAUAAAAUAAAGUGAGAAUAGAAUAUAAUAAGUAUUACGUAGUUUGGUAUGAUGAAUGGAAUAGAGUAUGAAUAAUUAUUAUGAUUUAUUACAGUGUUUGGUUGGUAAAAAUAACUUUAGAAUAAGAAAAGAAUAAAAAUAAAAAAACAAAAAUACCCUUUAUUAUAUAAUGAUUAUUUUAUUUUUAUUUUNUAUGUAUUCAUUAUUGUCCCUUUUGAGAUUAAUUUUCCAUUCACUUUUGAUCGAAGAAACUUACUUUACAAAUCUUCCUUCUUGUACACAACAAGAACAAAGCUUGCUUUACAAAUCGCUUUAUAAAUCCUCAUUCGUGUACACAAUCUCUUCAUUCUUGUUGUUAUAGAAUAGCUACUAGAGUCCUCAACAAAGAGUUACACAUUCAAGUACCUCAAGAAUGAAGAGAAUGAAAGAAAGUGUAGAGAAUGAGAGAAAAUGUUUUGAUUUUUCUAACUUACAUAACAAUUCACGUUCACUCUUAAUUGCGUGUAAAAAACCAAUGUCUUUGUUCACUAUUUAUAGAGGUAUUAGGGAUAUAAAGAUACGAUAUCUUUUUUAAAUUUUAAAAAAUUAAAUUUAAAUAUGUAUAAUUAAAAUAUAAAAAUAUAAUAUUUUAAAUUUAUUUAAAAUAUUAAUUUAUAAAUUUAAAUUUAUAAUUUUUAAAAAUAAAUAAAUGACAUUUUAGUCAAAAAUGUAUAGAUUUUAUUCCCAUGGGUGUGGAAUAGCUAAUACCAUGAGGGAUGGUGGUAUUAGCUAUUCCAAGCUUUUGCCUAAUUUUAAAAAAUAGUCAUUCCUUUUGGAAUGGCUAUUCCUUCUCCAAGAGCAAACCAAACAAGGGAAUAAAAUUUUGUAAGGAAUAGAGGGGGAAUGGCUUAGCCAUUCCACCUACCAAACAUGACCGAAGAAGUUCAGAUUAAAGACGUAAGCUUCAACUUGAAACGUUGAAGAAAGACUCAUAUUCAGCUGGAGAAAGCACAAUUUAAGUGUCAUAUUAUUUUCUUAUGACAUAACUUUAUAUAUUGUAAGAGUAGAAAAACCCACCAAUUUAUGUAUUAAUUGUCAGUUCAACCAAACGUAAAUAGGAACAUGAAAAAAAUAGCUUGGUGGGUGCACGGAGGGAUAUAACAGCAAUGGCUUGCCAAAAAAAAGAAUCACUUCGGUUAGCUUGGAUCCAAGGUUGAGGGAGGCAGCUCGAAUAGGAAAUAUAUGUUAAUUUCUUAAGAUUAAAAAUUUCAAUAAUAACUUUGUUAUAAAGUAAUAAUAAAUAAAUAUUAAAAGUUUGGAUAUUGACCUCUUAAAAAGAAAUUAAAUUCAUACUUUUUUUAAAAACAAAAACAAUAUUUAAGUACCAAAAUUAUAAUAAAAUAGUAAGUCUGUUAUUAUAUUAUCAAUUUUUCAUUUGAGAGAAUAAGGGAUUUGAAUUUUAACUCUUUAAAUAAGAAAUGCAUAUACCUAUCAUUUACUUCUUUGUCGACUUUUCUUUUAAUCUAUCUACUUGAUUGUUAAUGUUAUUAAUUUCAUGAUAAUGAUCGUCUCUUUUGCGAAUGCUAAAUGAAGCACACUUAUAUAUCAAUCAUAAUUUAGUUUUUUUAAAAAAAAAAUUAAUUAAAUUUUAUUAUCAAAAACCAGGAAUAGGUUCCUUGGAGAACAGAAAAGUACAUGAUUUUAAGAUGCUAUGCCUUGAUCAGCAUAUCAUCUCAAAAUCUUGUCAUCUUAUCUAAAGAAAGCCAGCUUACAAAGAACCCCAUAAAAACCCCUACCAUCAAUGAACAAAAAACAAAUCAAAAACAGCAAGUAGCCACAACAAGUAUACCCCAAGCCUCCCUACGCAAAAAUCAUUCCUGAUAGGAGAACCAGCAAUCGUGCAAUCUGAUAAAAAACUCAAGGCCUCACAUCAUAGACCUUGAUUCAAAAGCCAAACCACCUCAGCCCAAAAAAGUCAAAAAGCAACAGAGAGAAACGAUCAAACCUGAAGCUUGAAUUCUUCACGCAGCCAUUCAAAGAAGAAGAAUAAAAAAAUGUCCAACCUUUUUACUAUUCAAAGACAUUUAAUAAAUCCUCCUUACGUCUGACCUCUUCAUUCCAAAGACUGUCUGCGAAUUGAUUCUGUUCUCUGAAGAUAUGGUUGACUUCCCACCCUUUAAUGUUCCUUAGCCUCCAAGGACAUCCAGCUGGUCCAUUAAUUCAUUUGACUGUAUUUUUAGAAUCUGACUCAAUUAUCAAUUUGUGAGUCUGGCUCCAUUUUGAUGUUCCAAAGACCAAAAAAGAUUCCCUAAUUGCCCUGACCUCAGUCAUAAUUUAGUUAUAUUUUAAGUAAAUUAAUCACAAAUAAUUUCAAAUCACAGAAAAAUAUGUGGUUCAACUCCCAUUUAAUUUGGUGGAUGCGUACUUCUUCCUCAACCACAGAAAAUAAGAGCUCUGCGUGCUUCUUUAAUAUCAACCAAAAUAAACUUGAAAACCAAACUCCAGAUUUACUUCAUUUUCUCUUUCUACUCUAUAACUGCUACAAAUAGACUAAACCCUUCCAAUUAUUUUCCUGUGAUUAUUAUUAAAUCUUAUCGAUGGAUGAAAGGUUGAGAAGUGCAGCUCAAUCGGGAAAUAUAGAUGCCUUGUAUGCAUUAAUCGAAGACGACGCGGAUGUUUUGCGACGCAUCGAUGAGAUGGAGUUUGUUGAUACUCCACUGCACAUAGCUGCAGCUGCAGGCAACACUGAUUUUGCGAUGGAGAUGAUGAACUUAAAGCCAUCAUUCGCUAGGAAGCUGAACAAACGCGGGUUUAGUCCCCUUCAUCUAGCCUCGCAAUAUGCAAAAAAAAAGAUGGUGGAUGAUCUCCUAUCAGUUGAUAAAGAUCUUGUUCGUGUCAAAGGGAGGGAGGGUUACACUCCUCUUCAUUGUGCAGCCAGAGAAGGAGAUGUUCCUCUUCUGUCUAAAUUUCUGGAGGAAUGCCCCAAUUGUAUCUUUGAUUUGACUAUUCGAAAAGAGACUGCUCUGCAUUUUGCAGCACAAAAUAAUAAUUUCCAAGCUUUCAAAGCCAUACUGGACAGGAUUCAAGAGACAGACAAAUACCACGACAUUGAGAAAAGAAGAAUGCUAAACUUACAGGACAAGGAUGGAAACACUGUGUUGCACAUAGCCGCAUCAAAUAACCAAACCCAGGUACCAUUUAUCUCAUCCUAAGAGAAAAUAGAAUUAAUUUGGCAUUGUAAUGUAUUUUAUUUGUCAAUUAAUUGUGGAUUUUAUAUAAGCAGAUGAUCAAACUGUUAAUAGAAAGCAAGAAGGUUGAUAGCAAUAUGGUUAAUCAGAGUGGUUUCACAGCUUUGCAUGUCUUACAAGAACAACCUGUAGUUGACAGAGAGAGUGUGAACAUUCUGAUACGUGCUAAACAUCCAGCCUCAAGGUUCCGUAGGGCGUCAAACUUCAACAAAUUGACACGUGAUAUUGAGGAGAUGAAACUUGAUACGAUCAAUGCGUUGCUAGUCGUAUUUGCACUGAUUCUAGCGAUGACUUACCAAGCUCUUCUCAGCCCGCCAGGUGGUGUUUUGCAGGCUGAUGCUGGUUCCGAUUCUGAUCAUGCAGGGAAAUCAGUGAUCAAGCCUGUUAUGUUUAUUAUUUUCUAUGUUUCAAAUAGCGUAGCUUUUAUAAUGGCGUGGAUCUUAACAAUGGCCCUCCUCAGCGUCGUUGGCAAGAGGAUCGUGUUUACUGUGUUCUCACUAUACUUGUUGAUGUGUUUGUGCUAUGGUGCUGCACUGGGUGUCCUAGAACCAAUAGCAUUUAGCGGUUGGGGUUCUUGGAUUGCUGCUGUCAUCACUAAUGUCUUGUUUUUUUAUGUUUGGUAACAAGAAAGUAACUGCAAGAAAAUUGUUUGUGUUAAUUUUUUGUUAUGUUAAUUUUAUAGAAAAAUACUGCUCACCAUCAUUCAAUUUUUAAAAUUGUUUUUAUUCUUAUAUUUUUUUGUCAUAACAUUAUAAUAAUAUCAGUAUUCAUCUAUAAAUAUUAUAUAUAUAAAUAAUAAAAUAUUAUAUUAUAUAUAUAAUAAAAUAAUUAAAAAUUGAUAAAUAAGAGGAACAAGAAUUGAAAAUUAAAUAUAAAGGGUGUCUUUUUCAACUGUUAGAAAUAUUGGAUAUUCCAAUUGAGCCCAAAUAAAUAUGGGGAGACUUUUCCAUUGCCAUUGGUGAACUCAAAGAAAUAUUACUUAUUUCAGAAUUCAAACUCGAUAUUAAAUUAGAAGCCUCAAGUUUACAUUGGAGUGUUGUCUUCAUAAUGGUUUGAUUGUAAUUGUCAUUUGAUGGUUUAAUUAGAUCAUAAUGGUGGGUGGUCAGUUCAACCUUUAGGCUUUUUCCUUUUCUGGAGGUGGAGAUGGGGACUAAUGCCUUCCAUAUCUUUUUCCUAUUAGUUAAGCAAAAUCUGUGUGAAGCAACUUCUACAAGCAAGAUCAUCUCGAUCAAACUUCUUCUCUGAACAUAAUAGUAUGGAUUAUGCGAUAGUACAAGAACAAUAAUUAGAGCGAUUUAAGAUUCUCAAAGCAAAAUCGUGUUCUAUGUAUUAUCGCUUCGAAUAAUUCUUUUACUCAAAGCAAAGCAACCAUUGAAGAGGACAAAAAAGUAUGGAAACAUAUCCUCAGAAUAAACGUUCAACUGUAUAUAAGAAUCCAUCUCAAUCAACUUUGAUUGGCAGCAAGCAUAUAUACUAAAUUUCUAAGACUAAAAAUGAAGGAUUUUUUGAGUUUAGCAAUCUUUUUUUUCUGAAUCUCUCUUUCUGUUGGUAAUAAAUUCAGUCUAUUUUGUCCAAGCAAAAAUCAAUAAGAAAAGGAGGGAGGGAAGGGACAGAUGGAAUCUCUCUCACGCUUUACACUCAAGUGUACAGUAGAAGCAAAUUAGGAGGGUUCUUGACUAAGAAUGAAGAUAAGCAUCUUAAAGCGUGACUGGCACAAAUCAACCAUUUACAAGGCCACUUCUUAUAUAAACGGAACCACUCUCCUCUUUCUUCCUUACUCUUGUUUAUCAAUUCUAAACUCAACCUAAACACUUUCAAGCUUUUACCAUCUCUUUGGCAAUGACAGAGAGUGCAAUCAUCUCAAUACGUCCUUGCACAACAUCGGAAGAGAAGGUGAUGGAUGCUGCUCGAUCGGGUGAUAUUGGUACGUUGUAUCAACUUAUUGGGGAGGACGUAAAUGUCUUUAAGCGGAUGAAUAAGAGGCGGUUCUUUGACACUCCACUACACAUAGCUUCAGCUGCGGGAAAGACUGAGUUUGCGAUGGAACUGAUGUACCUAAACCCGUCAUUUGCUACGAAGCUGAACAAAGAUGGCUUGAGCCCCCUACACCUUGCUUUGCAAGAGGGGAAAACAGAUUUGGCGCUUUCUCUGCUGACAAUCAAUAAAAAUCUGGUUAGUGUCAAAGGGAAGAUGGGUUACACUCCUAUCCAUUACCUAGCUAUGAAAGAAACAGACCGUAAUCGUUUGACUAAGUUUCUCAAUGCUUGCCCUGAAUGUAUCCAUCAUGUGACAAGUCGAGAUGAAACUGCUCUGCAUGUUGCCGCAAGUAACAACAACAUAAAAGCUCUUGAAGUUCUACUACGCUGGCUUAGGAAAACCAGUAACUGUAGCAUGCUCCAAAAAGAAAGAGUCCUUAACCACCCGAACAGGGAUGGCGAUACCGUGUUGCACGUAGCAGUCUCCAACAAACCACCGGAUCCCGAGGUCCAUUCUAGUUCAUUUACAUUUUAGGUAAAACAGAAUCUCUUUACUUUCCAUCUCUGCAAUGUAGUUUACUUUGUUUUUUUUUCAAUGCAGAUGGUCAGGCUAUUAACAAGUUUUAGGAUCAAAAUGAAAGCUACAAAUUCGAGAGGUUCAACGGCCCUGGAUAUCUUAAAAUGCUGCCGAACUCAAGAAGACAAUAUCAAUAUCAAGAAGUGUGUGGACAUUUUAGGCCAUGAUCAGUGUCUGAAUGCUUGUCGCAAAGGACUAUGGUAUUUUCUCGAACUGCUUAGUCAAUGGGGAUACGAAAUUAAACAUAUGUCAAAUGACAGGGGCAAUGCUUUGCUAGUAGUAACAGUGCUGAUUCUAACAGCUACUUACCAAGCCACCCUAAGCCCUCCUGGUGGUGUUUUGUCACUUGAUGCUGAUACCAACAACAAAAAUGUUUCAGCCUUGCAAAUUUACUUUGAUACCAAGAACACCACCCGAGUGGAAACCAAAGCAAAUUACACUGCGGGAUCAUCAGUACUGCAGACAAUACCUUUUCUUUGGUUCUUUAUUCCAAACUUGGUGGCUUUCGCUAUUUCUUUCCUCCUAACCUGUUUCGUACUUCUCACUCUCGUUAGUGGUUUCUUCUCGUUUACCCUCAUCCUAUCCCUGUCAAUGUUACUAUUUUGCCUCCUGGUAUCUGCAGUGAUGAUCAUAUCGCCAAAUAAUCAAUCCAGCAACAUUCUUUUAUUUUGUGUCUAUAUUAUUGUGUACGUCACCUACUGUGCCAUUGCACCAGUACUGAUCCCCAAAAUAAGGAGAAUGUUUCGUUAAGAGUGCAAGUCGAGAUGGAUUACGAAAGCCAUAGAGCUCUGUGGCUGAUGCAAAGAGUGGUGUUGUCAAUGUCAAGAUCAUAUUUUCUAGGCUAAUUGCUCCGGUUAGGUGUUUGGCUUUUGUCUUUAUUUUUCAAGCUGCGGGUCGGUCUUCCUUUGAUCUUUGUUUGGGAGUGUUGAUUGUCAAUCUGCCUUUGGUUGUAUUACAGUCUUUAACGACUGUUUUCUUUAAUAAUAAUAAUAAUAAUAAUGACUUUUUUUAAUAAUAAUCCUAAUCUUUUUCCUUAAAAAUAUACUCAUUUUAAGAUUUGAGGUUUAAAAAAUAUUUCAUUUAUUAUUCAAUUUCUUAUUUCUUCCAAAUCAUGAUGAACUCUGCGUUUUCAAUUUUAUUCAUGUAAAAAAAAUUGAUGACAAAAGUUGAGGAUUACUCUAAAGAAAUUCCUCACACCUCAAGAAUAUUUUAAAAUAAAAUUACUUAAUUUUUAAAGAGGUUUUAUCGUGGGACUAAUUUUGUAUUUUACGAAAUGGCUUUGAUUUGAUUUUUUUCACUUUUGAUUUCUUGAUUUUUAUGUCUAUUAUCCUAAUUUUUAACAUAAUCUUAUUUUAUUUCUUCAAAAUUAUUUCUUGAAUUAUACAUUUGCAUGUUUUAUGUUAAGAAGUAAAUGAUAACCUUUACAUAGAAAUUUUUUUUAAGCUUCCCAAUACUUUUGGUAGAAUUUAGUAAUUUUCUUUACUUGAAAACUUUAAGAAAUUUGUCAUUUAUAAUUUUUUUUAAUUUCAUAAUUGGUUAGAUUUUCACUUACUAAAAAUGCAAAUGAUGCAAACAAGUAUACUGUUUUUGCUCAGUGAAAAACAAUAUUAAUUAUUGUGAAAAAGCGACAAGUAAAAUAAUUAUCAUAAUAUAUCUAAUUCUCAAAUGAUAGUAAAGUUAAAGACAUUAAAUACGAAUCUCAUAACACCUAAUUAAGUUAGGAGUAACACACAAUUACCACUAAACAUAAAACAUCUUUGACCUGGCCACUCCAUGCUAUAUUAUCAUAAUUAAUUGCAAUUUUAUUUUGAGCAUAAGUGACCCAAUUGAAUUGAUAUAUAGUAAUAUCAGCAUUUUCCAUUCCAAUCAGGCUUGAUUAAAUCCAAAUAAUUUUUUCUUUUCUUUUCUUUGACAAUUUGAGUCACGGGCAUAGUCCUCUCUCUAUGCAUCUAAGAUUCAAAUUCGAUAUAUACUUCCAAAUUGAAACAUCAAGUUAACGGUCAUGAUACAUUUUUAAGAAUGUCAAAAUUAAAUUUUGAUGAUUUUUUAUUAGAUAAAAUUAUUAAUUUUGAUAUUGUAAUCGAGAUUAAAAAUUACAAUUUAAAACAAUCACAAUUGCAAUCACAAAAUUCCUAUAAUUUUGGAAUUGAAAACAAAUUCAGCACACAAUCGAAACUUUAAUCACGACUAUAUCAUAUUUGACAUGACAUUUGUGAUCAAAUGCGUACUUCAAACCGUAAUAAUAAAAAAGCUCCAAAUAAUAGAGUUCAAUUCCACGAUUUUCAUGAAGAAAAAACUGUGCCCUUUAUAUGCCAUUUCUUAUUUGUUAAACAAAAACUGUGCGAAUCAGCUUCCUCAAGCAAAUUAAAGGACAUCAAAUUCUUUUCUGAACAUCAUAGAUUAUGCGAUAUUACAAGACAUUUAGUGUUCUAUAACUUGUUCAAGUUAGUUUGUUUACUUUAAAUUGUUCGAAUCAUUCCCUUUACUCAAAGCGAGCAAUUGCAGCGGGCGUGAGUCAGGUGUAAGUUCGAAUCAUUCCCUUUACUCAAAGCGAGCAGUUGCAGCGGGCGUGAGUCAUGUGUGAUACAAAGGGGGUGUAUUAUGUAAUUAAGCAAGAUGGUCACUAAGGCUGAACAUAAGUCUCCUGCAUGUGUAAUUAGAGACUUAAUUCAGCAUCAUAUGUUCCCGAAGCUUUGCUAUGUUAAUGAAACAUUUUUCAUGCUUUUCAAAAAAAAAAAAGUGAACAAUUCCAACCAAUAAAGAGCUGAUAUAAUAAAGUAUGAAAAGAUUGUAAGUCUCUAGAAAUAAACCUUCAGUUAGAGAUAAGAAUCCAUGACAUUCAUGAUUGGGACCACGGCUAAUUUAUGCUCUAUGGCAGUACUAUCCAUCUCAAACAAAAGAAAAAAUCUUGUUAAACUUUAUUGAAAAUUAAUUUAUACUAAUUCAAGAUUUAAUAUAAUAGGAAAUUAACACAAAAAUGUACCUGAUUCUUAAUACAUGAUUUCAUAGUGAAAAUGAAACUGACUAGAUUAACUAUUGGGUUUCAAUACAUUAGGAUCUUCUUCCUUCCUCCUCAAUCUAUUAACGUUAUAAUAGGGGAAAAUCUUAAUGUUUUUGUGUAGGGGGGGGGGGGGGUGGGGGAACUUUUUAUAUUUGAAUCCCUAUUCCUAUUCAUUAUUAUAAGAUUAUAGAUCACUUCUUUUCAAAAAAAAAAUAAAGGGUUUCUGAAGCAUGAAAUUAGAUUCAAAUGUUGAAUUGAUGAAAACUUGACGAGGAGAUGGCAACAAGACAAUGAUAUGUUGAAGAGAACAAGAACAUUGGAGUCCUCACCAAUGUCCAAAGUUAAAGCAAUGCUUAAUUAAUUUCUGAAGCUUUCAUUUCAAUCUAUUUCUCUUGGUGAUAAAACUCAAUCUGAGGAAAGGAAAGAUAGAUGGGGAGAUAGAAUCUCAGUCACGUUUUACACGCCAUUGUACAAUAGACGCAAAUUCAUGAGGGUCUUAACUAAGAAUGAAGAAAAGCACCUUAAUGCGUGACUGACAAAUAUCAACCAUUUCCAUGGCCAACGCUUUUAAAUAGGGAACCAUUCUCCUCUUUCUUUCUCACUCCCUGUCUACCACUUUAAACUCGAGCUAAACCCUUCCAAACUUUCCGGUUUUAUACCAUUAUCAUGACUGUAGAGAGUUCUAGCAUCACAAUUGGUCGUCCUUCCUCAAUGCAGGAGAGGGUGAGGAAUGCUGCUAAUGAAGGUGUUAUUGAGGCGUUGUAUGAGCUUAUUCGGGAGAAGGCAGAUUUCUUGAGGGACAUCGAUCAAAUGGAGUUUGUUGAUACUCCAUUACACGUAGCUGCAGCUGCAGGACGCACUGAGUUUGCAUUGGAGUUGUUGGACUUAAAGCCAUCACUUGCUACGAAGCUGAACCAGGACGGUUUGAGCCCCAUUCACCUUGCGUUGCAGAAUGAGCAUGCAGAGACGGUGCUCUCACUCCUGAGAUUCGAUAAGAAUCUCGUUCGUGUCAAAGGGAAGAACGGCUACACUCCUUUCCAUUACGCAGUAAUGAACGGAGACCGUCCUGUUUUGAAUGAAUUUCUCAAGGAUUGCCCUCAAUGUAUCCAUGAUGCGACAAAUCGAAAUGAAACUGGCCUGCAUGUUGCAGUGCAGAACAACAGCUUCGAAGCUUUUCAAGUUCUAAUGCUCUGGCUUUGGAGAUCUGAUUGUUCUGUGAGGGAGAUUAAAAGAAUUCUGAACUUCAAGAACAGGGAUGGCGACACUGCGUUGCACAUAGCAGCAUCCAAAAACCAACCAAAGGUAUGAAUUUGAUCUCACCCAGUCUUUCUUUUUUUAAGUUGUAUUUAACUGUUACGAAUUUACGAUCGUUUGUUAAAAUGUAUGUUACUUUAUUUUUCAAUGCAUGCAGAUUGUCAGGUUAUUAACUGAGUAUGGGAUACUGAACAUGAAAGCUACCAAUUCGAAGAAUUUAACAGGCCAAAAUCAACACGACAGAGGAAAGAGCAAGGAAAUUCUACUUUCUGCUUACCGUGCCAUUUUCGUCGGAGCAAUUGCUCUUAUUCAACUAAUUAGUGACCUUAAAUAUAACAUUAAAACCAUGUCAGGUGACAACAACAAUGCUGUGCUGGUAGUAACAGUACUUAUUCUAACAGCCACUUACCAAGCCGCCCUAAGCCCCCCCGGAGGUGUUUUUUAGGCUAACUCUGAACCCAAAAACACCACCGCCCACUUGCAAAUCCCCCAUAGUUUCCACAACAUAACUAGUUCCAUAACGAACAAAAUAUUCAAAAAGCAACCCUCUGCUGCGGGAUCAUCCGUACUGAAUACAGCACCUUUUCUUUUCUUCUUUAUUCCAAACAUUAUGGCUUUCGGUAUUUCUUUCCUUCUAACAUGUGCCAUCCUUAUCAGUAUCCUUCCUGUUGUCUUAUCAACUGCUCUCGUCCUAUCCCUGUCAAUGCUAGUUGUUUGCCUUCUAAUAUCUUCAGUGCGUAUCAUAUCGCCAAAUUCACUGUCCGUCGUUGUUAUGUAUGAAACUGUCGACCUCCUUGUCGGAUCACCUGUCCUGGUCAUGUUCCUGACAAUUUUACUACGACCAGUCAUAAGCCGACUUUGGAGGAUGGCUUGGAAAGAAAAUUAAUUUGUGUUUAUGUUAGUGGUUUUGGGUGGCCUAUCUCUAUUGAUAUAUUGGAGUAUUUUAAGGUUAUUUAUUGGCUGUUCUUCCAAUACGUUAUAAACAUAUCCUUUAUGAUGGGUAAUUGUUCUGCAUAGGUGUAAUUGUGAUGGUUAAUGAAUGUUUUAUUCUUUAA
rnacentral:lncRNA from 1 species